CCUUUUCUUAGCAAGCUCCAGCUCAUCCCGGCUUAACCUAACAUCCUCCAGCAAAUUCCCAUAGUUCUCCUGCUUGCCACGGAGAUCAAUCAGCUCCCCCUCCAUCUGCACAAUCCGGCCUUCCAGCUUGGCAUUCCGGGCAGCCAGCUUUUCCACCUCAUGAGUUGGCCCCCCUUCAUUUAACACCAAGGCUGUCUCCGCCAGCCGGAUGACAGCAGCAAUAUCCUCAUUCAGCUGGUUCUGCCGGGCAGUUGAAGAAACACCCAGAAUGUAAUUCUUCUCCGA
rnacentral:lncRNA from 1 species